rnacentral:piRNA from 1 species
GCAUCAGACAGAGAAGGAGUUAUUCAU